GAGCAAGCGCCAUGUUGAAGCCAUCAUUACCAUUCACAUCCCUCUUAUUCCUGCAGCUGCCCCUGCUGGGAGUGGGGCUGAACACGACAAUUCUGACGCCCAAUGGGAAUGAAGACACCACAGCUGGUGGGAAAUCUGGGACUGGAGGGGGCUGGUGAGAAGGGUGGCUGUGGGAAGGGGCCGUACAGAAAUCUGGUACCUGCCACUGGCCAUUACAAUCAUGUGGGCAGAAUUGAAAAGUGGAGUGGGAAGGGCAAGGGGGAGGGUUCCCUGCCUCACGCUACUUCUUCUUUCUUUCUUGUUUGUUUGUUUGUUUCUUUCUUUUGAGGCAGGGUCUCACUAUGUUGCCUAGGCUGGUCUCAAACUCCUGGCCUCUAGUGAUCCUCCUGCGUCCGCCUUUCAAAGCACCAGGAUUACAGACAUGAGCCACCGUGCUUGGCCUCCUCCUUCUGACCAUCAUUUCUCUUUCCCUCCCUGCCUUCAUUUUCUCCCCAAUCUAGAUUUCUUCCUGACCUCUAUGCCCACUGACUCCCUCAGUGUUUCCACUCUGCCCCUCCCAGAGGUUCAGUGUUUUGUGUUCAAUGUCGAGUACAUGAAUUGCACUUGGAACAGCAGCUCUGAGCCCCAGCCUACCAACCUCACUCUGCAUUAUUGGUACAAGAACUCGGAUAAUGAUAAAGUCCAGAAGUGCAGCCACUAUCUAUUCUCUGAAGAAAUCACUUCUGGCUGUCAGUUGCAAAAAAAGGAGAUCCACCUCUACCAAACAUUUGUUGUUCAGCUCCAGGACCCACGGGAACCCAGGAGACAGGCCACACAGAUGCUAAAACUGCAGAAUCUGGGUAAUUUGGAAAGAAAGGGUCAAGAGACCAGGGAUACUGUGGGACAUUGGAGUCUACGGAGUAGUGUUCUUUUAUCAUAAGGGUACAUGGGCAGAAAAGAGGAGGUAGGGGAUCAGGAUGGGAAGGGAGGAGGUAUUAGGGGCACUACCUUCAGGAUCCUGACUUGUCUAGGCCAGGGGAAUGACCACAUAUGCACACAUAUCUCCAGUGAUCCCCUGGGCUCCAGAGAACCUAACACUUCACAAACUGAGUGAAUCCCAGCUAGAACUGAACUGGAACAACAGAUUCUUGAACCACUGUUUGGAGCACUUGGUGCAGUACCGGACUGACUGGGACCACAGCUGGACU
rnacentral:sRNA from 1 species